rnacentral:rRNA from 1 species
GACAGAGGGUGCAAACGUUUGUUCGGAAUUACUGGGCGUAAAGCGCGUGUAGGCGGCUGCGUGUGUCGGGCGUGAAAUCCCAUGGCUCAACCAUGGAAGUGCACCCGAAACUGCGUAGCUAGAGUCCUGGAGAGGAAGGUGGAAUGCUUGGUGUAGAGGUGAAAUUCGUAGAUAUCAAGCGGAACACCGGUGGCGAAGGCGGCCAUCUGGACGGUAACUGACGCUGAGACG